rnacentral:lncRNA from 1 species
CUCUCACUGAGUUGCUAAGGCUGUCUUCUAACAUGCCAACCUCCUGCCUCAGCCUCUUGAGUAGCUGGCAUUCCGGGCAUGUUCCACUUGCCACCAGUAAGAAGGGAAAUUUUUAAGAAGCAAGGAAAUGUAUGGGGAUAUCCCAGGGCCUUAAUAUUCACACCAGAGGGGUGCCAAUUUAAUUGGAUCCGGUAAUUAUUUAAUGUCAAAGGGGAAAAUAGCAACACUUGGUAUCUUAUUUUAGAACUCACUACAGUAAUGGAAAACACGUGGGCUCUUGUAUAACAACCUUUGUACAAACUUCAGUAUCAGUAUCAUUAUCUAUCAAAUGGCUUAUUUUUUUGCUAGUACUACUUCAUAGAGCUAUUAGGGUCAAAAGGAUAUUUAAUAAAUGAUAACUAUUUGGGUUGUGUUAGGUUGAAUGGUGUGAAGUUGCCAGUAUUUGGCUGUUUAGGACCUGCAUCUUUCAUCCUAAUGAUGCUUGUACCCUGUCAAGGGAGGGAAGACUAGGUGAUCAUAUAUAAAGAGGGAAAUGGAAACCAAGGUGGGAAGUGAGUUGCCCACAGUCACACUGGGGCAAAGACAGAAAGUGAGCAAGACUGGAGUCUCUUGGCUGUGGUAAGCCAUUCUUAUAGACCGUGGCCACCAUUAGAAGAUGGCGCCGGCUUCCACUGUGGCCUGUGAUAAACAACUCCUUUUUUGGAGAGUUGGCGUGCAAUCCCUUCCCACCCUAUGAGAGAGAUCCACGUGGCAGCUUGGGAUUGCUAUGCGGGAGGCUUUAUUAGGCUGUGCUUG